UCAGAAGAUGAUAAAUUUUGGGUAGUUC
rnacentral:piRNA from 1 species